rnacentral:tRNA from 1 species
GGCCUCGUAGCUCAGUUGGCUAGAGCGUUGGCUGUACUAAAGCCUUCGUCUUGCUGGCGUGGGUUCAAAUCCCACCGAGGCCG